CAAAUAGGAAGAAGAUGGAGAGGAAAUGUUCUUCAGCUAGCUGUAUUUCUUGUGUUCAACUCUGCAGGAAAUCCUGGCAAAAUUUCAAUUGCUCUGUUCUUAGAGAGCCCAUCACCUUAUUGCAGUGAGUGCCCAACACAACAUGUUUGGUCCAGACUCCUUCUUCCUUGAGGGUUCCUAUAACAGAAAUGCCAGGCUCUGGACAUCGGAAGCGAAAUUUUUGAGCACCUUUGGGCAGGAAAACAGGUGGCACUCGAAAAAGUCCUCACCAGGAACCUACUCUACCCCAUGGAAUCAUAUCCAAGGUGAAAGGAAAGAUAAUAAAAAGAAGAGGGUGUCAACCAAGCAGUCGUUAUUUGGGGAUGGCCAACUCUUCAAUCCCAGUGAACCCCUCAGAUAUACAGAGCAAGAAGCUGUUGAGACCUCAAAACAGGCGAGCAGUCACAGAGGAAGUGCCAAGAACAGCGAGAGGGAGCCUAAGCAUCCACGAGAACCUCAGUUACCCAGAAUUGAUCAGCCUCAACAGAGACCUCGCAGUCAGGCUCCUUCUGAGGACACAGUGCAAAAUCGGGUGACAACCCCAUACCUGAGCAGUGUCCUAAACCAAAGAAAGUACGAGAGCAUUUUCAAACGCAAUCUUGAAGAAGGACUCCUGAAAAGAAUAGCAAGACGAAAAGUCCGUCGGCGUGUGUUUGGAGAAAUUGAUGCCAAAAAGGUCAACCAGUUUGGGACUGCCUGCUCACCUUUUCGUGCCCUUGCAACUACAGAGAUGGAGACUUUCACUUUACCCAGCAACUUACCCAUGACAUCACGGAUGGUGAGCAGGGGACUGGUUUGCACAACAGAGUCCGACUUAAAAACAAUGAAACUCACCUUCCCAGAAGUAGAAGAAGAGAAUGCUGAAGAGACCAAGCCAAGUGACAAGAAGAAUGCCCUGGACCAGACCAAAAAGUCUAUGCUGCCUCCAUUGCUUCAUCCAACGAGAUCACGGCUCUCUGAAAAUAAGAAGACUUCAGGUUUCCGCCUUCCUUCUGUUCCCAUAGUAAAGGCAUCUACAUCAUUAAAGUGGGGAAAGUACUAA
rnacentral:lncRNA from 1 species